rnacentral:rRNA from 1 species
AAAUUGAAGAGUUUGAUCAUGGCUCAGAUUGAACGCUGGCGGCAGGCCUAACACAUGCAAGUCGAACGGUAACAGGAAACAGCUUGCUGUUUCGCUGACGAGUGGCGGACGGGUGAGUAAUGUCUGGGAAACUGCCUGAUGGAGGGGGAUAACUACUGGAAACGGUAGCUAAUACCGCAUAACGUCGCAAGACCAAAGAGGGGGACCUUAGGGCCUCUUGCCAUCGGAUGUGCCCAGAUGGGAUUAGCUAGUAGGUGGGGUAAAGGCUCACCUAGGCGACGAUCCCUAGCUGGUCUGAGAGGAUGACCAGCCACACUGGAACUGAGACACGGUCCAGACUC